rnacentral:rRNA from 1 species
UUGGGUUUAGACCGUCGUGAGACAGGUUAGUUUUACCCUACUGUUUAUAUUAUUAAGAAAAGUUAUAUAGUACGAGAGGAACAAUAAGUGAUGACCUCUGGUGUAGCGAUUAAUUAUUCAAUUAUGUUGCAAAACUACGUCAUGAAUAAUAAAUGCUGAAAGCCUCUUAAGCAUGAAGUUAAUCUUAAUGAUAAACAACUGAGGAAUACUACCUCUUUGAAGAGUGGGACUGUAAGAAUGAGGUGUAUACCGACAUUUUGAGGUUACCAUUUCGUUCUGUAUAAAAAUA